CCUACGGGCGGCAGCAGUGAGGAAUAUUGGUCAAUGGACGAGAGUCUGAACCAGCCAAGCAGCGUGAAGGAUGACUGCCCUAUGGGUUGUAAACUUCUUUUAUAUGGGAAUAAAAUGUUCCACGUGUGGGAUUUUGUAUGUACCAUAUGAAUAAGGAUCGGCUAACUCCGUGCCAGCAGCCGCGGUAAUACGGAGGAUCCGAGCGUUAUCCGGAUUUAUUGGGUUUAAAGGGUGCGUAGGUGGAUUGAUAAGUCAGUUGUGAAAGUUUGCGGCUCAACCGUAGAAUUGCAGUUGAAACUGGCAGGCUUGAGUGCAGUAGAGGUGGGCGGAAUGCGUGGUGUAGCGGUGAAAUGCUUAGAUAUCACGAAGAACUCCGAUUGCGAAGGCAGCUCACUGGGCUGCAACUGACGCUGAGGCACGAAAGUGUGGGUAUCAAACAGGAUUAGAUACCCUGGUAGUC
rnacentral:rRNA from 1 species